UGGAAUUGGUGGGUUCUUGGUCUCACCGACUUCAAGAAUGAAGCCGUGGAUCCUCGUGGUCAGCUUUUGGUCCAGUGACUCACUCACAGAAACUCCAAGACAGAUUAAACUAGCAAGAGUUGAAUAUCUGAAUUUCCAAAAUUAUGAGGCUACAAAAAGAAGCAUAGAUUAAAGUUAGGACCAAAUGCUGCUCAGAAAUUGUUUUAAUCUCAAAAGUAGUUGGCAAGUUUUCAGAGUUCAUUUUCAAGGCCUGGUGUAUGUGAAACAACUGAACAUUCAGAGCUAUUUCAUUUUCAAAGAUUCUCACAUCCAACAGAGAGAAGAAGGUCAUACGAAGACACGCAGAAUUUGGACUUAUGCGGUCACAAGUCAAGGAGUGCUUGGAGCUACCGGGAGAUGGAAGAGUCAAGGCAGGAUUUUCCCUGGAAGAUUUGGAAGGAACAUAUUUCUCCUGAAACCUUGAUUCUAGCCUUCACUAAUGACAGAGAAUAAAUUUCUGUUCUUUUAAGCCA
rnacentral:lncRNA from 10 species